AGUGAACGCUGGCGGUAGGCCUAACACAUGCAAGUCGAACGGCAGCACAGUAAGAGCUUGCUCUUACGGGUGGCGAGUGGCGGACGGGUGAGGAAUACAUCGGAAUCUACUUUUUCGUGGGGGAUAACGUAGGGAAACUUACGCUAAUACCGCAUACGACCUACGGUUGAAAGCAGGGGAUCUUCGGACCUUGCGCGAUUGAAUGAGCCGAUGUCGGAUUAGCUAGUUGGCGGGGUAAAGGCCCAGCAAGGCGACGAUGCGUGGCAGGUCUGAGAGGAUGGUCAGCCACACUGGAACUGAGACAGGGUCCAGAGUCCUACGGGAGGCAGCAGUGGGGAAUAUUGGAGCAUGGGCGGAAGCCUGAUCCAGACAUACCGAGUGGGUAAAGAAGGCCUUCGGGUUGUAAAGCCCUGUUGUCGGGAAAGAAACGCAGCAGGUUAAUACCCCGCUGUUCUGACGGUAAACAAAGAAUAAGCAACGGCUAAAUUCGUG
rnacentral:rRNA from 1 species